rnacentral:lncRNA from 10 species
AAGAGUCCUAAAGCAACCUGAGGAACAAUGCAAGAUACCCUGCAGGGUUAUCAGCCUCCUACAAGGGAGUCCCAGGCCCAUGACUCUUUCCAGAAAGAUUCUCCAUUCCUCAUUUUCCUCUAUGGCUACUAGUCAAUUUCUGAGGUUUGACUGAAUUAUCAAAUUCAAAUCUGCCCAGAUGUCAGUGUUAUCAUUUUCGUGUCUCCUGAUGGAAAUAUUCUUUGAUUGGUUACUAAGACCUCUAAAC